GAAAAACAUCUGCUUUGUGUUGCUUUAUAAACGGGAACGAGCUGGUGGGGAUUAAUGACACGAAACUUUGCUCUGUUUUUAAGCUGUGCCUCUUCAGGAGAUGCUUGCCAACCCUAAAAAGAGUUAAGCUAGCCAGUGUAACUGUGGGAGAGCCACAUGAAGCUGACGAUGCGAACAUGAGAAAACGGAAGCUUGGAAAUGAAGCAAAGAAACCAAGAUGAGGAGGGAGCGAAGAGAUAUGGGUGCUUAGCCUGGGAGUGACUUUCUCUUGGUUUGUCCGGCCCUGGUACUGCUGGCAUCGGCUCUCUGGGGAAAGCUGCAGUUCUGCUGUUAAAACACAAGGAGCAGCCUGGAGAAUUUUGAGCUGCGUCACACAGCUCAGAGGGGGAGAGAGAGAGAGAGGGAAAGCAAGCUCUGUCGAUAGGUCUACUAGCAACAGCCCUGCUGCAGCAAGAGAGAGAGAGAGAGCUCAUGAAAGAGAAGUGAUAACAACAUUGGGAAGCAUGCUUCCUUUACCCAUACAGCAUAUUUUUUUAAAAAAAGAACCACUAUUUUGAAGCUUGUUUAGUACCAGCAGAUUUUGUCCACUGAUGAUACCGGAAAGAUGCAACGCAGUUAAUCCCGCAAGGGGGGGGGCAUACAUAGGAAGGGUUAAUGGGAGGAAAAUUCUGGAAUGUUCUAUCCUGCGGCGGCGCAAACAGAGGGUUGAGGACUGCACAGGUGUAGACGAACAGAAUUCGUGGUUCCUCUUUUUCCUUACGUGCAUCACUUCUCUCUCUCUCUCUCUCUCUCUCUCUCUCUCUCUCUCUCUCUCUCUCUCUCUCUCUUUCCCUCCCCCUUGCCCCCGGUGUGAGCCCUUGCUCUGCAGAGCUGUCUCCUCCAGAGGCAGUCUUGCAUCCUGCAGUGCUAGUUCCGCAGAGGAGGGCAACAGGGGGCACAACUGCGAUGGCUGCUCCCAGGAAGGGACCGACUCGGUGCUGAGAUCAUGCUUGUUCCUGGCAGGACUUGGAGACUAUAAUGCAGCUGGAAUUCUUACCUCAUGAACAAUCUUAUAUCAGAUGCCCAACAGACCACAGAGUUUGGAGAGAAUGAUGCCUAAUAGCAGGAAUUCUGUCUCGUCUGGUACAUGAUGCUUGCCAUUCCUUCAUCCCAUCAAAACCUGAUGUGGUUGGCUAUACCUUGCUGUUACAGCUUGAGUGGAAAGCUGUCAAGUAUCUUUGCUGAAUAAAUCAGAGGACGAGAAAUGUUUCAGAUUCCAUUUGUUUUGCUCGUCAAGUUUCAAGUAGUUGAAAUACCAAUGCUUGUACUGAUACAAGAAUGGCUACCUUCAUUGUUAGUAAGUAUAAAACUGCAGAUCACAUGCAAUGCCAUCCACAAACAAUUGAAACAAGGUGGCUCAGCCCUACCCCUGGAAUUGCCCAUUUUAGGGCCAUUUGCAGGAUUCUGCUGGCAGAGAUGAUGCAAAUGGGCCUUCUGCUUACAUG